AGAGGAGAGGGAGGAUCACUGCUUACCUUGAAGGACCUCCCCGGUAGUCCUUGAACAUGCGUACCUUUCCCAUUGUGAGGGACAUGGACCGCGCUGUGCGAGGGACCCCGUCUUCUACAACAGGAGGAAACAGAAAAAACUCAUUACCCAUUUUUUUCCUAUAGGACUUCUCAACACCAAUAUACUUAAAAAUCUCCAUGAAGAAAGACAGUAAACAAUCAUCACCAAACUUAUGUGUCCACAGAAAUCUUUUUCCUGGGAGCAUCUCAAGGGUUUUGUGAGUCAAUAAAAAUACUCUGAACAGCUCUCAAUAACCUACACAGGACUCCCAAUAUGGAGCAACCCAUCACUGGGUGGUGUCUAUAGUUGUCCCUGCUGGUCAUUGUGCUAGUUACCACAGGUGGAACAGAGUCAGUCAGCAAAACUGGGGCUGGUGGGCUCACCUGACGGACGGCCCCCACCACCUCAGCUCUGCUGGAGAGACGGGCAGCCAGGCGGUGCAGGACCGCGAUGUCCUCCAGCAGCUUCUGGUAGGUCUCACGAUGCUCACAGUGGUGCCAGAGUGGU